UACGAAGGGGGCUAGCGUUGCUCGGAAUCACUGGGCGUAAAGGGUGCGUAGGCGGGUCUUAAGUCAGGGGUGAAAUCCUGGAGCUCAACUCCAGAACUGCCUUUGAUACUGAGGAUCUUGAGUUCGGGAGAGGUGAGUGGAACUGCGAGUGUAGAGGUGAAAUUCGUAGAUAUUCGCAAGAACACCAGUGGCGAAGGCGCUCACUGGGGCUUUUCUGACGCUGAGGAACGAAAGCCAGGGGAGCGAACGGG
rnacentral:rRNA from 1 species